GUGAAUACGUGCAUGGAACGUAGUGCAGGCGGAUUGACGAGGUAGGCAUGGCCCCGCGUCAGUCUCCAUUGGGGGGCUGACGUCAUCUCCGCAAAUGUUCACCACCGCACGACAAAACAACAAUUGCACCAAGCGGCGUUCUACUCGACCGCGGUACGCUGGGGGACAAACCGAGUAACGGCGAGCCGAAGGCCGGGGAUUUCAUCUGCCUAAUACGGUGAAAUGCACCCCCUGUAGCUUCGAGAUUCUAGCCGAGGAAAAAAAAACUGGUAAUCAGCCGUUCGAUCGCUCGUUAAUAUCUUUUUCUUCCGGAUCAAU
rnacentral:misc_RNA from 1 species